UGGGGAAUUUUGGACAAUGGGGGCAACCCUGAUCCAGCCAUGCCGCGUGAGUGAAGAAGGCCUUCGGGUUGUAAAGCUCUUUCGCAAGGGAAGAAAUCUCCCGGGAUAACACCCUGGGAGGCUGACGGUACCUUGAGAAGAAGCACCGGCUAACUACGUGCCAGCAGCCGCGGUAAUACGUAGGGUGCGAGCGUUAAUCGGAAUUACUGGGCGUAAAGCGUGCGCAGGCGGCUUGCCAAGUCAGAUGUGAAAGCCCCGGGCUCAACCCGGGAACGGCGUUUGAAACUGGCAGGCUAGAGUUUGGCAGAGGGGGGUGGAAUUCCACGUGUAGCAGUGAAAUGCGUAGAGAUGUGGAGGAACACCGAUGGCGAAGGCAGCCCCCUGGGCCAAAACUGACGCUCAGGCACGAAAGCGUGGGGAGCAAACA
rnacentral:rRNA from 1 species